ensembl:lncRNA
AGGGCAGCACGUGUUCAUCUGUUAGUGGGGGCCUGCAGCUCAGUUCUACGGAUCCCUUGGCCCCUUGGAGGCUGUGCGAUGGGGGCACGGGAGGCUGUGGCCAGCGCCCAGGGCAGCGGAUGGGGCCUGGAAGGGGGAUCCGGUGGGGGCGUUGGAAGGAGAGCUGGGCACUGAUGGCUCAGGGGAGGGACGGGACAGGAUGAGCUGGGGUUUUGUCUGGAGCCCCUAGAGGAGGAGGUGCUGGCCGUGAGAGCGGGGACGAGCGAUGGGGCUCACGCUGGGUGGGCUGCUGGAGGGAGGGGCGCCCAGGCUGGCACCCUGGAGAGGAGCCAAGGCUGUCUCGUGCCCAGGGACCAGGAGAUGGCGCCUCUCCUGAGACACAGCCCGGGAGCCCAGUACAAAGCCCUGGGCGCCUGGACUCCGAGGCCGAGGCCAGGAGGAGUGGUCAGUGGGGGAAGGGACCUUGGAGGGGCAUCCAGCGCACAUGGGGGUGGGGGGGGGGCGCCCAGCUUCGCAGAGAUGGCUGACUUUCCAGCAUUGCUGGGAUUCCCAUCUGCCCCAGCUUUCCUGUCAUUUUUCUUUUUGCCUUUAUUCCCAUUGAGAGCAAAGGCGCGGCCAGACCAGGGCCUCUGGUCUCCACAUCUCUCAGCACUACCGAGGGUUUUUGUUCUGGGGUCGUGGGCAUAUGUGUAGGUGUUUCUUUUCUUUGGUCUUAGUUUUUUCUUAAGACAACAAUAAACCUUAUAAAGAUAUAGUUUUAAUCUUUCUUUUUUUUCCUCCUUGUAUCUCUUGCAGUUUUUCUGGGUUUGUUUUCAUUUUGAGGUUUCCUCCAAAAACUUUUCAUUGUGGGUUUUGUUGGCAACCUUUUGAGCCUCGUAAUAGUUUUAUUGUGCCUUCAAAAUAGUUUGUUCUUUCAACUAUUGUUGUCUCCCCUUAUUUUAAAAGGAUAUUUGUGGAGUUCUCGUUGUGGUGCAGUGGUUAACGAAUCCGACUAGGAACCAUGAGGUUGCGGGUUCGGUCCCUGCCCUUGCUCAGUGGGUUAACGAUCCAGCGUUGCCGUGAGCUGUGGUGUAGGUUGCAGACACGGCUCGGAUCCCGCGUUGCUGUGGCUCUGGCGUAGGCCGGCGGCUACAGCUCCGAUUCGACCCCUAGCCUGGGAACCUCCAUAUGCCGCGGGUGCGGCCAAAGAAAUAGCAACAACAACAACAACAACAACAACAAAAAAGGGUAUUUGUCAUACUUACAUCAAAUAAUUUGUCUGUCCUAACGCUUCUGCUUCAGAUGUUAUAAGCUCCCUCAUUUGCGGCUUUUUGUUUGUGAUUUUUCUAAACUUCUUGGGUGUUUAGAUUCCUUGACUCAGAGCUUGACUCCCCCAGAAGGGAAUUAAAUGGACCUUGGAGGGAAAUAAACCAUCCAAAACCUCUAUUUCCUUGCAUGGCAUCCGAAACACUCUCAAGGGGCGUUCCCUCCGUGGCUCGGGGCUUAACAAACCCAGCUAGGAUCCAUGAGGAUGUGGGAUCAAUCCCUGGCCUGGCUCGGAGGGUGGAGGAUCUGGUGUUGCCGUGAGCAGUGGCGUAGGUCGCAGAUGCCGCUCAGAUCCUGCACUGCCGUGGCUGUGAUGCAGGCCGGCAGCUGUAGCACCAGUUCGACCCCUAGCCUGGGAAGCUCCGUAUGUCUUGGGUGCAGGCCUAAAAUAGCACAAAAAAACAAACAAAAAAUACACUCAAAAUUUCCAACCAUACCAAAGGACCAAGUGGCCAAAUACCAUGAGACAGAAAGACAAAUAAACAAAUUGAAGUUACCAGAUAGAGAUUUUAUUUUAUUUUUCUUUUUAGGGCUGCACCUGUGGCAUAUAGAAGUUUCCAGGCUAGGGGUCGAAUUGGGGCUGCAGCUCUCACACUACACCACAGCCACAGCCAUGUGGGAUCUGAGCUGCAUCUGUGACCCAUGCCACAGCUUGAGGCAAUGUUGCAUCCUUAACCCACUGAGCGAGGCCAGGGACAGAACCCACAUCCUCAUGGACACUGUGUCGGGUUCUGAACCCACUGAGCGAAUGGGAGCUCUAGCUAUGGAUUUUAAAUAAACUGUUUUUAAUCUUUCUCUGCUGAUUUUUAGUGGUCAAAUUAACUGUUAAUAUACACAGCAAUAUGACAAGAUGAAAGAUUUCACAGGAGUACUGAAUUCAUUUUUUAGUCAAUGGAAAUACUGGAACAAAAAUCUACGCUAAUCAAAGCUAAGUACUUGAAAGGUGGAUUUGGUGAUGGGUUAGAGCUCAGAAUAGUAAAUUGGCAGAAAAUAUCAAAAAAUAGCCUAAAACACCUGAGGCACCAUAAAAAGCUCUAACCCAUGUGGAUGGGAGCCCCAGAAGGCAAGGGGAGACACGCAGGGGAGAAAGAUUUGAAGAAACCCUGGUCAGGAAAUUCCCAAGCCAGUGGAGGCCAUCAAGCUGUUUAUCUGAGAAAAUCUACGGACAUGAAGAAGACCACGGGUCACAGUCCAGCUGUCAGAAAGGAAACCAGAAGACUGUGACAGUGACAGACGCCUGACCUCGGCACAGAAACGAUGGCUGCUGGGAGACAAUUGAAGGAUUUAUUCAAAAUUCAGGGACAUGACAGCUCACCUAGAACUCUCUAGCCAGUUAAAAAUGCUUUU